AUUGAACGCUGGCGGCAGGCCUAACACAUGCAAGUCGAACGAGUGGCGGACGGGUGUGUACUGUCUGGGAAACUGCCUGAUGGAUGGGGAUAACUACUGGAAACGGUAGAUAAUACCGCAUACCAUCAGAUGUGCCCAGAUGGGAUUAGCUUGUUGGUGGGGUAACGGCUCACCAAUGCGACGAUCCAUAGCUGGUCUGAGAGGAUGACCAGCCACACUGGAACUGAGACACAGUCCAGACUCCUACGGUGGGAAGCAGUGGGGAAUAUUGCACAAGGGGCGCAAGCCUGAUGCAGCCAUGCCGCGUGUAUGAAGAAGGCCUUCGGGUUGUAAAGUACUUUCAGCGGGGAGGCGUUACCCGCAGAAGAAGCACCGGCUAACUCCGUGCCAGCAGCCGCGGUAAUUC
rnacentral:rRNA from 1 species